rnacentral:rRNA from 1 species
UGGGGGAUAUUGCACAAUGGGCGCAAGCCUGAUGCAGCGACGCCGCGUGGGGGAUGAAGGCCUUCGGGUUGUAAACUUCUUUUGCUCUGAACAAGGCGCACUUUGGGGUGUGUUGAGUGUAGGGGUUGAUUAGCGCCGGCUAACUACGUGCCAGCAGCCGCGGUAAUACGUAGGGCGCGAGCGUUGUCCGGAAUUAUUGGGCGUAAAGGGCUUGUAGGUGGCUGGUUGCGUCUGUCGUGAAAGCUCAUGGCUUAACUGUGGGUUUGCGUUGGGUACGGGCUGGCUUGAGUGCAGUAGGGGAGGCUGGAAUUCCUGGUGUAGCGGUGGAAUGCGCAGAUAUCAGGAGGAAUACCGGUGGCGAAGGCGGGUCUCUGGGCUGUUACUGACACUGAGGAGCGAAAGCAUGGGGAGCGAACAGG